UCCGUAGGUGGCAAGCGUUGUCCGGAUUUACUGGGCGUAAAGAGCGCGCAGGCGGUCCGAUCAGUCGCAUGUGAAAGCCCCCGGCUCAACUGGGGAGGGUCAUUCGAUACUGUCGGACUCGAAGGCAGGAGAGGGAAGCGGAAUUCCCGGUGUAGUGGUGAAAUGCGUAGAUAUCGGGAGGAGCACCAGUGGCGAAGGCGGCACUCUGGGCCAGUACUGACACUGAGGAGCGAAAGCGUGGGGAGCGAACAGG
rnacentral:rRNA from 1 species